rnacentral:rRNA from 1 species
AAUGAACGCUGGCGGCAGGCCUAAAACAUGCAAGUCGAACGCCCUAGCAAUAGGGAGUGGCGCACGGGUGAGUAACAUGUGGGAAUAUGCCUUUUGGUACGGAACAACGUUUGGAAACGAACGCUAAUACCGUAUGGUCCCUCCGGGGUAAAGAUUUAUCGCCAAAAGAUUAGCCCGCACUAGAUUAGCUAGUUGGUAAGGUAAUGGCUUACCAAGGCGACGAUCUAUAGCUGUUCUGAGAGGAAGAUCAGCCACACUGGGACUGAGACACGGCCCAGACUCCUACGGGAGGCAGCAGUGGGGAAUAUUGGACAAUGGGCGAAAGCCUGAUCCAGCCAUGCCGCGUGAGUGAUGAAGGCCCUAGGGUUGUAAAGCUCUUUCGCAGGUGAAGAUAAUGACGGUAACCUGAGAAGAAGCCCCGGCUAACUUCGUGCCAGCCGCCGCGGUAAUAC